GAUGAACGCUGGCGGCGUGCUUAACACAUGCAAGUCGAACGGAAAGGCCAGUGCUUGCACUGGUACUCGAGUGGCGAACGGGUGAGUAACACGUGGGUGAUCUGCUCUGUACUUCGGGAUAAGCUUGGGAAACUGGGUCUAAUACCGGAUAGGACAACUUUUUGGAUAUUGUUGUGGAAAGCUUUUGCGGUAUGGGAUGAGCUCGCGGCCUAUCAGCUUGUUGGUGGGGUAAUGGCCUACCAAGGCGUCGACGGGUAGCCGGCCUGAGAGGGUGUACGGCCACAUUGGGACUGAGAUACGGCCCAGACUCCUACGGGAGGCAGCAGUGGGGAAUAUUGCACAAUGGGCGCAAGCCUGAUGCAGCGACGCCGCGUGGGGGAUGAAGGCCUUCGGGUUGUAAACUCCUUUCGCUAGGGACGAAGCGUAAGUGACGGUACCUGGAGAAGAAGCACCGGCUAACUACGUG
rnacentral:rRNA from 1 species